GUCUAUGGCCAUAUCACCCUGAACAUACCCAAUCUUGUAUGAUCUCAGAAACUAAGCAGGGAAAGAAAUAGAAACCCAGGCAGCCAGGGUAUGCACUUUUAAUCCCAGCUUGCAGAAGGCA
rnacentral:rRNA from 1 species